UACAGAGGAUGCAAGCGUUAUCCGGAAUGAUUGGGCGUAAAGCGUCUGUAGGUGGCUUUUUAAGUCCGCCGUCAAAUCCCAGGGCUCAACUCUGGACAGGCGGUGGAAACUACCAAGCUGGAGUACGGUAGGGGCAGAGGGAAUUUCCGGUGGAGCGGUGAAAUGCGUAGAGAUCGGAAAGAACACCAACGGCGAAGGCGGCGACCUGGACAGGUACUGACACUCAACUACGAAAGCGUGGGGAGCAAACAGG
rnacentral:rRNA from 1 species